AGUGAACGCUGGCGGCAGGCCUAAUACAUGCAAGUCGAACGGCAGCACAGUGGAGCUUGCUCCAUGGGUGGCGAGUGGCGGACGGGUGAGGAAUACAUGGGAAUCUGCCCAGUCGUGGGGGAUAACGUAGGGAAACUUACGCUAAUACCGCAUGCGCCCUUCGGGUGAAAGCCGGGGACCUUCGGGCCUGGCGCGAUUGGAUGAGCCCAUGUUCGAUUAGCUAGUUGGCGGGGUAAAGGCCCACCAAGGCGACGAUCGAUAGCUGGUCUGAGAGGAUGAUCAGCCACACUGGGACUGAGACACGGCCCAGACUCCUACGGGAGGCAGCAGUAGGGAAUAUUGGACAAUGGGCGCAAGCCUGAUCCAGCCAUGCCGCGUGAGUGAAGAAGGCCCUCGGGUUGUAAAGCUCUUUUGUCCGGGAAGAAAAGCAUCGGGCUAAUACCUCGGUGUUCUGACGGUACCGGAAGAAUAAGCACCGGCUAACUUCGUG
rnacentral:rRNA from 1 species